AUGGACCAUGAGAUUCCAUACAAUAGGUCCUAUGCGUGGGACUCGGAGGAUGAAGGCCCGGAUGAAGAAAUAGAUGAGGAUGGUUUGACGGCUAAAGAAGCCAAUGCUUUCAAGAAGGUAAUAGGCCAUAGUCACAAGACAUCAUUGUUUCGUGAUCUAAGCCUAGCCGAUAAGGCGAUUGUUGAUGGUGGCACAAGUAAAAUUCUUGCACCAAGGUUAACUUCAAAGCGAGAUACCAAAGCAAGUGUGUAUGGUGUUAGUGAAGGAACAAUCUUUGAAAGCUUGACAGAACUUCAAAUAUGGUCCAAGGACUACGCAAUUAAGUUUCAUCAGCCAUUCAUUGUGGAGAAGUCAAACUAG
rnacentral:rRNA from 1 species